GAGUUUGAUCGUGGCUCAGGAUGAACGCUGGCGGCGUGCUUAACACAUGCAAGUCGAGCGAAGCGUAUUUGCGGAAGUUUUCGGAUGGAAGCGGAUGCGACUUAGCGGCGGACGGGUGAGUAACGCGUGGGUAACCUGCCUCAUACAGGGGGGAUAACAGUUAGAAAUGACUGCUAAUACCGCAUAAGCGCACAGGACCGCAUGGUCCGGUGUGAAAAAACUCCGGUGGUAUGAGAUGGACCCGCGUCUGAUUAGCUGGUUGGCGGGGUAACGGCCCACCAAGGCGACGAUCAGUAGCGACCUGAGAGGGUGGCCGGCCACAUUGGGACUGAGACACGGCCCAAACUCCUACGGGAGGCAGCAGUGGGGAAUAUUGCACAAUGGGGAAACCCUGAUGCAGCAACGCCGCGUGAGUGAAGAAGUAUUUCGGUAUGUAAAGCUCUAUCAGCAGGGAAG
rnacentral:rRNA from 1 species